rnacentral:rRNA from 1 species
UACGGAGGGAGCUAGCGUUGUUCGGAAUUACUGGGCGUAAAGCGCACGUAGGCGGCUUUGUAAGUUAGGGGUGAAAGCCUGGAGCUCAACUUCAGAAUUGCCCUUAAGACUGCAUCGCUUGAAUCCAGGAGAGGUGAGUGGAAUUCAUGGUGUAGCAGUGAAAUGCGUAGAGAUCAUGAGGAAGACCAGUGGCGAAGGCGGGUCUCUGGACAGUUCCUGACACUGAGACACGAAGGCCAGGGGAGCAAACGGG